UAUUGGACUAUGGGGGCAACCCUGAUCCAGCCAUGCCGCGUGUGUGAAGAAGGCCUUGUGGUUGUAAAGCACUUUAAGCAGUGAAGAAGACUCUAUGGUUAAUACCCAUAGACGUUGUCAUUAGCUGCAGAAUAAGCACCGGCUAAAUCUGUGCCAGCAGCCGCGGUAAUACAGAGGGUGUCAGCGUUAAUCGGAAUUACUGGGCGUAAAGCGAGCGUAGGUGGCUUAAUAAGUCAGAUGUGAAAUCCCCGGGCUUAACCUGGGAACUGCAUCUGAUACUGUUGGGCUAGAGUAGGUGAGAGGGAGGUAGAAUUUCAGGUGUAGCGGUGAAAUGCGUAGAGAUCUGAAGGAAUACCGAUGGCGAAGGCAGCCUCCUGGCAUCAUACUGACACUGAGGUUCGAAAGCGUGGGUAGCAAACAG
rnacentral:rRNA from 1 species